AUGCCAAGGACCUGGACAGGAAAGGAAGAUGUCUGUGCAAUAGCAGAGGAGGCUCGAUCUGCUGCUCUCAAACUUCUGUCUGUAUUAGCCGUCAUUCGCUGGGAUGACAAGCCAGAUAGGAUUGAAAACAUUCUGACUUCCACACUUCUAGAUGGUUCUGUUGAGUCAAAGAGUUCAAGUGCUUCUUCUGGUGACCCGCUUGCUUCAACUAGCUGGGAAGAGGUUCAUCCCAAGCAUACGCUUAUUACUCCAGCUCAGUGCAAGUCAGUGUGGAAGCAGUUCCAAUCAGAAACUGAGUUCACCAUUACACAAGUAGUAUCAACGCAGCAAGCUCACAUGCGUGGUAAUGGCAGACUGCCUCCUCCUUGGGCGAUGGUUGCUAUCACAGUUCUUGGUUUUGAUGAGAUCAUGAUGCUUCUGAGUUGUGCAGGAAUCCUAUAUACAUGUUCUUGCUAUUUGCGGGUUAUUUGCUUGUCAGGGCUUUAA
rnacentral:rRNA from 1 species